CACGUAAGGGGCGAGCGUUGUUCGGAAUUAUUGGGCGUAAAGGGUACGUAGGCGGUUUGGUAAGCCCGGCGUGAAAUCCUGCAGCUUAACUGUAGAGCUGCGCUGGGAACUGCGAAACUUGAGUCAUGGAAGGGGAGUUAGAAUUCCAGGUGUAGGGGUGAAAUCUGUAGAUAUCUGGAAGAAUACCGGUGGCGAAGGCGAACUCCUGGCCAAUGACUGACGCUGAGGUACGAAAGUGCGGGGAGCAAACAGG
rnacentral:rRNA from 2 species